ensembl:lncRNA
CCUGUCCACACACAGAAACAUAGAACGUAGAGAUAUACAUUAAAAUAGGUGGACGCCCGUUUCAAAACAGUCACCCUGGGAGCAAGGGUGAACCCCAGUCAGGUAUCAAAAUAUAGGGGGUGUGUUCUUAUGGCUGUGGUUAACAAGUGGUGACACAGGUAAGAGGAGACUUCUGAUUGGCUGGGAUUAACGAGUGCCGAGUGGUUAUCCAGGAAGGAGGUGUGUUCUGAUUGGCUAUGAUUAACGAGGGCCGAGUGGUUAUCCAGGGAGGAGGUCUGUUCUGAUUGGCUGCGGUUACCAAAUGGUUCCAGAGUUUAAGAAGGCGUGUGUGCCGAUUGGCUGUGGUGAUCCAUCCGUCACCCAGGUAAGGUGUGUGUGUGUGUGCAUGUUCUGAUUGGCUGACCUGUGGGUAGGCGGUACCCAUGCCGGAGAGCACGGCCGAGAGCACGUCCCGCCCCUUGUCCCCGGAGCGGUGGGACACGGCGAGCUUCAGCACGUCCACCAUGACCCGGGUGUCGUCGGGGACCAGAAGGGCGGUGAACUCGUCCAGGUACUGCGGCUCGGGACCUACCACCUUGCUCUGGUUCUCAGAGUCCUGGGGAGAGAGAGGGGGCGGACACCGAAACAUUUAGAAACCAUUUAGGAAACGGCAGCGUGACGACAAGGCACAAACUGAUC